rnacentral:rRNA from 1 species
AGGACGAACGCUGGCGGCGUGCUUAACACAUGCAAGUCGAGCGGAAAGGCCCUUCGGGGUACUCGAGCGGCGAACGGGUGAGUAACACGUGAGUAACCUGCCCCAGACUUUGGGAUAACCCUCGGAAACGGGGGCUAAUACCGAAAUAUGACUUUGACCCGCAUGGGUUUUUGUGGAAAGUUUUUCGGUUUGGGAUGGACUCGCGGCCUAUCAGCUUGUUGGUGAGGUAAUGGCUCACCAAGGCGAGGACGGGUAG